rnacentral:rRNA from 1 species
GACGAACGCUGGCGGCGUGCUUAACACAUGCAAGUCGAGCGGUAAGGCCCUUUCGGGGGUACACGAGCGGCGAACGGGUGAGUAACACGUGGGUGACCUGCCCUCAGCUCUGGGAUAAGCCUGGGAAACCGGGUCUAAUACUGGAUAUGACUCCAUGACGCAUGUUGUGGGGUGGAAAGCCUUGUGCGGCUGAGGAUGGGCCCGCGGCCUAUCAGCUUGUUGGUGGGGUGAUGGCCUACCAAGGCGACGACGGGUAGCCGGCCUGAGAGGGCGACCGGCCACACUGGGACUGAGACACGGCCCAGACUCCUACGGGAGGCAGCAGUGGGGAAUACUUGCGCCAAUGGGCGAAAGCCUGACGCAGCGACGCCGCGUGA